rnacentral:tRNA from 1 species
GAUAAGAUGGCUGAGAACUUUUAAGCGAAAGACUGUAAAUCUUUUUACGGGCACACACCCUCUUAUCU